UUCCGCUGGCGCCGUUUUUAUAAAAUCCCUCCUUUUUCCCCCUUCUUUUCCCCAAAAUUUCAAAUGAAAUCCCACCCGAAAUCUUUCUUCUUUUUUCCCCGUUUUAUUUUUCCCAAACCAUUUCUCCUUUAUUUUUUGCCCCCAAUUUCCCCAAAUCGACAGCCCUCUGCAUCUCUGUUGGUCCCGCCCAUUUUCGCAGCCUCGACUUCGGUGAACGAAACGACUACCUCAAAGGCGUCGUCACCGAUGUUAUCCAUGACCCAGGUCGCGGUGCGCCCUUAGCUUGCGUCGUGUUCCGUCAUCCAUUCCGUUACAAGAAGCAGAAGGGACUGUUUGUCAUAUUUUAUUUCUCUUUUAGUUAGAUUGAUGUCGAUGUGAAUGAGGGGGAUUUGAUUGUUACUAGCUUUUUGAGAUCGAAGUUGAAAUCAAUGUUGUGAACUUUUGUGGUUUGAUAGGUGAAGUACUGUUCAGAGAACAACAAGCGUCUGAUUCACUUCUCUACUUGUGAAGUGUAUGGAAAAACUAUUGGAAGCUUUCUUCCUAAAGAUUCUCCUCUCCGUCAGGAUCCUGCCUACUAUGUUCUUAAGGAAGAUACUUCCCCCUGCAUUUUUGGUUCAAUUGAGAAGCAGAGGUGGUCCUAUGCAUGUGCUAAGCAGUUGAUUGAGAGGCUCAUUUAUGGUUAGCCCUUGUUUGACAAGGAACUGAACAAGUAAGUUGCUAUUAAAGUUAUUGAUUUAGAAGAAUCGUAAAUGGAUACCUUUGUUAUAUUUUCCUUGAUUUAUUCCUCAUUAAAGUGUCUUGUAGCAGGUGCUUGCUAUGAGCAGCAAAGUAUGAAUGAAUGUGAUUAUCAACUUUACAAAUAUACAUAGUAAAGUUUAAAGUAUGAAUCGAAUUGCUAUGAGCAGCAAAUUUAGGGAUAAAACAACGUCACACCAAAUUGCUAUGAGCAGCAAAGAAAAUUUUUUCAAUUGCAGAAAACCAACUUCCCUUCUUUCCCAUACUGCCAGAAAAUUUAGGGACCGCACGACUUGUGGUUGAUUUCGAUAGGUGGUGGACUGGUGAGGAACCUGUGAAUGUUCUCUUAGAAGCCGCAGGCCAAGGUCCAAUCUACAUCUGAUGGAGCUGAUUCCACUCUUUCAAACCCCCUGUGUGAGGAGUCUGCUCAAAAUUCUUCAAAAUACUCUAACAGACAGAGGUUUGAUUGUGGCAUGUUUAUGUAUUCUUUAUAUCAACUUCUAUAGCAGAGGCUUAAGUCUUUGUUUUGAGCAAGAACACAUGCCCUAUGCCCUAUUUUCGUUUAAGGACCGCCAAGGAAAUUCUGAAACUGAAAGCUGAUUGAUCGGAUGUGUAUGCCGGCUUUCAUCAACUACUUUCGAAGGCCUUACUAGGAAUUGAAAUGGUGUGCAAAGAGAUUGCAUCUUUUGAUCUGAUUUUUCGAUAUAAAUAUUGGAUAAAGUAUGGAUAUUUUACUUCUGUUAGUAAAAUAGGAUUCUCUUCUUAGGAUCUUAGUUUCUUCACUUGUAUUAGAUUCAACAAUGGCUUGCAUUGCAUUGGUGUUGAUUUUACCAAAAUUUCGAGGUUUACAAUUUUUAAUUUUUAUUAAUUAUUUACGUUUUCUCACUUU